UGCCAGCCGCCGCGGUAAUACAGAGGGUGCGAGCGUUAAUCGGAAUUACUGGGCGUAAAGGGCGCGUAGGCGGAUUGGCAAGUCGGGUGUGAAAGCCCAGGGCUUAACCCUGGAAUUGCAUCCGAAACUGCUUGUCUAGAGUGCAGUAGAGGGAAGUGGAAUUUCCGGUGUAGCGGUGAAAUGCGUAGAUAUCGGAAGGAACAUCAGUGGCGAAGGCGACUUCCUGGACUGACACUGACGCUGAGGCGCGAAAGCGUGGGUAGCGAACAGGAUUAGAUA
rnacentral:rRNA from 1 species